ACAACUUCAGCAGCUCAGGGGACCUUCCCCAGGGGCUCAGCCACUUCUUAUCCCAUUGCACUGGGGACACAUGGAAUCCCAGCAGGGGUGCAGCGUCAAAGCCUGGGGUUCUACAGGGGAGACAGGCUGGUGGAGUGGUCAGGAUAAGUCCUGGGACACCUGGCUUCUGGCGUGGUCCUGGGAUGAACAUCUGGAUUUCCAUGGGUGCUGCAGCCAAGGACGUCGGUGUGAAGGCAACGUUUGUGCUUCCUAAGCCUCCACGUGUGUCCCUGCUGGGCUGGAGCAGCUGCAGUGCAGGGCUGGGGGGGCUGCAGGGGGCUGGGGUACCCCAUCCCUGCCCUCCACAAGAAGCCACGCUUCAGGAGCCACAUUUCCAUCUGCUGGAGAUCCCAGCACAGCCCCUGAGGGACCGUCAGAGAGGGGGAUCUGGCGAUGCCACAGAUGAGCUCUCCUCACAUCACCAAUCCAGGGUCCGGAAACCUUGAGAUUCCCUGAGGCACACAGAGGCUGCAUUUGCAGCAGGGACUGAAGGGGUUAAAGCUGCUUUGCAAUGUGA